CAUGAAUCGAUGAAGAGAAGAGUAGGUUUGCUCCUUGUUCUAAAGAGAGUCGACAUUUGGUGAAAGUCGAUGGCAGGACAAUCUGAAGAUCAUCUCCGAGAUGCAUAGCUGAACAAAGAAGUAAGUUAUGCCGGUAUUAUCCGCCGUUAUAAGGGAGCACGUACAUAAAAAAAGUACGUUAAUCGAGAGCCGCAAUAUAAAUGCUUUUUGUUGCGGAAGUAGGGUGGUAACGCGAGCAAAACUCGUCCCUAUC
rnacentral:ncRNA from 2 species